CACGAACGGAAGCGAAUGAAACAAACUGCAAAACUUUAGAAAAAUCCCAACCCGGAAUGAUAUUUUCUGUUUCCACCCUACUUUCACUAAAGGCACAUGCCUCGUCGCUGAAGCCAGGCCCACCGGUUUCCACUCAUUAACCUACAUCUGGAAGUGAUUCCUGCACGGCUUGUGUUUGUGCUCUAUUCCUGUUCUGGCAGAACCUACGCUGUUUAAAUGGAAAUGUCGGAAUAAACAAGGAGAGUGGAAAAAGGACAGAAUGUCCACUGUUUGCAUUCUGCCAGUCCGCUGAAUGAGUCAACACGUCUUCUGCUGCGUCCCUAAAGGCUGACGUCCAACGCCAGCUAAACCUGGAGGCCUGGAAUGGAGGAAAAGGCCUCCAGGAAGCGAGAAGCAGGCGGUCAGCGAGUCCAGCUGGCUACUGAGCCUCAACACACUACGACUCAGCAAAUUUCAGGAAUGUGGUCAUCAAUACAGUACCCAUGUGAUCAACAAGACGUCUUCAGUUGCACAUGUUGGCCGCCUCGUCUCUGGACCCUGAAAUAGAGAACAAAAACAGACCCUGAGUGUUCACCGUCAACUUCAUAAACCUUCAAAUACUCCA